rnacentral:rRNA from 1 species
GAUGAACGCUAGCUACAGGCUUAACACAUGCAAGUCGAGGGGUAACGAGAGGGAAGCUUGCUUUCCUUGUCGACGACCGGCGCACGGGUGAGUAACGCGUAUCCAACCUGCCCCCAACUAGGGAAUAACCUUGCGAAAGUAAGACUAAUACCCUAUAAUUUCCUCAGAUGUCAUCUGACGAGGAAUAAAGAUUUAUCGGUUGUGGAUGGGGAUGCGUCUGAUUAGCUUGUUGGCGGGGUAACGGCCCACCAAGGCAACGAUCAGUAGGGGUUCUGAGAGGAAGGUCCCCCACAUUGGAACUGAGGCACGGUCCAAACUCCUACGGGAGGCGGCAGUGAGGAGUAUUGGUCAAUGGGCGGAAGCCUGAACCAGCCAAGUAGCGUGCAGGAUGACGGCCCUAUGGGUUGUAAACUGCUUUUAUACAGGAAUAAAGUUAGCCACGUGUGGUUAUUUGUAGGUACUGUAUGAAUAAGGACCGGCUAAUUCCGUGCCAGCCGCCGCCGUAA